rnacentral:rRNA from 1 species
AGUGAACGCUGGCGGUAGGCCUAACACAUGCAAGUCGAACGGCAGCACAGUAAGAGCUUGCUCUUACGGGUGGCGAGUGGCGGACGGGUGAGGAAUACAUCGGAAUCUACUUUUUCGUGGGGGAUAACGUAGGGAAACUUACGCUAAUACCGCAUACGACCUACGGGUGAAAGCAGUGGAUCUUCGGACCUUGCGCGAUUGAAUGAGCUGAUGUCGGAUUAGCUAGUUGGCGGGGUAAAGGCCCACCAAGGCGACGAUCCGUAGCUGGUCUGAGAGGAUGAUCAGCCACACUGGAACUGAGACACGGUCCAGACUCCUACGGGAGGCAGCAGUGGGGAAUAUUGGACAAUGGGCGCAAGCCUGAUCCAGCCAUACCGCGUGGGUGAAGAAGGCCUUCGGGUUGUAAAGCCCUUUUGUUGGGAAAGAAAAGCAGCAGGUUAAUACCCCGCUGUUCUGACGGUACCCAAAGAAUAAGCACCGGCUAACUUCGUG